AUUUGGGCAACCCCUGCAGGGUGUACAUCUUAUCGAUAAGCCGUGUCCGCGGUUAUGGACGACUUGGAAUUGUAUAGCUUGAUCAUAGAACAACUUACACCUUAUUUCCUGUUGCUAAUAAUUUGCUAAUAAAACUUUUUCAAAAAUGUGUGUGCCUUUGCCAGUACCUCUUUGCGAAGGGGGAUCGCAUCGGCUGUGUUAUGUUUGCAGAGUAUAGAACUGUUACCUUGUGCGCUCCCUUAUCUUCUCUGAGUAGACGGAUGUUGUAGCGUGUCUCUAUUGGUUAUAGUUAUGCUGCCGCUAAACCUACCAUAUAGCCCCAGACGAUAUAUAUAUUCGCCCGGCGAGCAUAGCCAUUUCUAGUCUCGCUAAGUACGUGCCGGAAUUCGUUCCUUGGUACUUACUCUCGCCUUUUCUCUUUCUCUUUUGCUUCCUCCCUUUUGUCGGCAACCGAUGGCCCGACUUUGACAGGUACGAGAUGACGACGUUAGCAAGGUUACCCUUCCGGCUUGGCCUGGGCAGGGUUAUGGACGCCACUGGUUAUCUUCGGGACUCUUAGUCCAAUUUGUAUCUUGUCCGUACUCGGACGUAUUUGAUCUUCUGUAUGAUUUGGAUCUUUGUAUGUAUCUAUUUGUAUCUUGACUCGUUGGAGUCGUUGUUGUAAUAUAUGUUUCUUGUGGGCUCUAUUGUAAUCCUGUUGUAAUGUUACCGCUCGUGUUAA